rnacentral:misc_RNA from 1 species
GGGUGCCAUAAAAAAUCCCUUAAAUUAAGCCUUGAUAAGCUUUGUCUCGUUUGUUAGAUACAAUUAUAUAAUUAAGAUAAAGAAGGGUUAUGAUUUUAAUCAAUGCAUAAAAUAUAAACUGGUUGCUAAUGGAGUUGGAAAAUCCUUUCAGCAAAUGAUUCUUGGCAAUUGAAUAAGUGUGUGACCAAAGUGCCCUUUCUCUGAGCUAUAUCCACGCCCGAUGGGUAGUGCAGAGUGCACUUUGAUUUGAAGUUGAGCAAUGCCCUUACUAAUUGCUUCUGCCCAGCAAUGAUGUUUUCAAAGAAAAGAACUUCUAUAAACCCAUUUCUCUGCAAUAGACACAGAAUCCACACAUGGAAUUUUACUAAUGAUUGAUGGAGGAAACCAAGGACGAUAAAGAAGCAAGAAAAUUUUCCAAGGACAAAAUGAAUGCAUGCCACGUUGACACAACAAACGAAGGAAAUAGCAACAAUAUAGUAUAUAUAUAUAGCAUGUAUAUGAUAGCUAGCUAAGGCUAUUUUUGCUGCAGAGCACAAAACACACGCCAAAAACUUCCAAACCCAAGACAUAUUCUAAUCUGAACAAUCAAAUCU